AAGCCAUUAUGCGGGCAAUCUCUUAUCAGCCUCUUAAACCUCGCCCAAGCAUCGCUGAGCGAUUCGUCAUUAUCUUGUUCGAAAUUGGUGAUUAAUUUUCUUCGUCU